GGAAUAUUGGUCAAUGGGCGCAAGCCUGAACCAGCCAAGUAGCGUGCAGGAAGACUGCCCUAUGGGUUGUAAACUGCUUUUAUACGGGGAUAAAGUCAGAGUCGUGACUCUGUUUGCAGGUACCGUAUGAAUAAGGACCGGCUAAUUCCGUGCCAGCAGCCGCGGUAAUACGGAAGGUCCGGGCGUUAUCCGGAUUUAUUGGGUUUAAAGGGAGCGCAGGCUGAAGAUUAAGCGUGACGUGAAAUGUCCCGGCUCAACCGUGGAACUGCGUCGCGAACUGGUUUUCUUGAGUGAGUACGACGUCAGCGGAAUUUGUGGUGUAGCGGUGAAAUGCUUAGAUAUCACGAAGAACCCCGAUUGCGAAGGCAGCUGACGAGUCCUUAACUGACGCUAAUGCUCGAAAGUGCGGGUAUCGAACA
rnacentral:rRNA from 1 species